rnacentral:rRNA from 1 species
UACGGGGGGGGUAAGCGUUGUUCGGAAUUACUGGGCGUAAAGGGCUCGUAGGCGGCCAACUAAGUCAGACGUGAAAUCCCUCAGCUUAACUGGGAAACUGCGUCUGAUACUGGAUGGCUUGGAUUCGGGAGAGGAAUGCGGAAUUCCAGGUGUAGCGGUGAAAUGCGUAGAUAUCUGGAGGAACACCGGUGGCGAAGGCGGCAUUCUGGACCGAUAUUGACGCUGAGGAGCGAAAGCCAGGGGAGCAAACGGG